ensembl:lncRNA novel transcript
UGAUCAGGAGAUAGGACACAGCCACCUUAAUAAAAGGAAGAAGAUACUAAAAAUCUGUCAAACCCAGCAGUACUCAAGGCCUAGAGCUCCAUUUGUUUUUUAUCUGCCUACUUCACACACCUGACGAUAUGUUGUCGGAUCUUAUUAUUGGAAUAUUGUUGUGUCUGCCUAAGAAUGAAACUUUCACUGCCAUUUUUAUUUCAAUAUUUGUGGCUGAGAACAGAAAGGAGGACUUAUUUGGGAUUACAGGAAGCAAAGGUAGAAUUUCUGGCCAAUAACAAUUGUACGUUUAGAAGAAUUUGGGGCAACACUUGCUUUCAUUGUAACACGCCACCUGGUCACAAGAUUAUGGGGAAAUAAAUAUAUCGUCUUCACUUUA